rnacentral:rRNA from 1 species
GACAGAGGUCCCGAGCGUUAGGCGGAAUCACUGGGCUUAAAGCGUGUGUAGGCGGCGGCCUAAGUACCUUGUGAAAUCCCACGGCUCACCCGUGGAACUGCUCGGUAUACUGGGUCGCUUGAGCCACUUAGGGGCUACCGGAACAAAUGGUGGAGCGGUGAAAUGCGUAGAUAUCAUUUGGAACGCCAAUGGUGAAAACAGGUAGCUGGGAGUGUGCUGACGCUGAGACACGAAAGCCAGGGGAGCAAUCGGG